GAAAGUUUGGAAAUAACGGCAAAAAGGAGAAAACUUCUUGCACGUAAGCAGUGCUAUAUGCAUAUAGCUUCUGUGAAGCACGGAGUGACCCAGGAAUUUACCUUCAAACGGUGGAAUACAUACCGGGACAGUAUCCGACAGUGGCUGCAGUUGAGCGGUGAGAACAGGAGAGUAGCCGAAAACUACAAACACUGUUUAGAUUUAGAGUUUGACAAGAUACCCGAGGAUGCUGCCUUCCACCCUGCAUGUUACCGCAGGUUUACGGACAAACUUGCUAUUGAACGAGCGGGAAAGCGUAUGGUGCGCGAGAAAGAAGGGGAAGAUGAAACUCAAGAUGCCGCAAGACCCCCCGAAGCUGCCCGCCCCCGAAGCUGGCCCCUCAACAUCGGGCAGCACUAAGAGUCUUAGAUCCAGGUCAGCACUGCCUAUGUCCAGCUCAGGUCCCGUCCUUCCUGCCCUGUGUAUUAUAUGUUAAAAAAAACCUCAAAUUCGUCUUAAAGGGAGGCAAACGACAAAGGGAAGCUCUUUCAAAAGCUGAGACCUUAACAGCAGGCAAGUUGCAGACUGCUGCUGAGACUAAAGAUGACCACAGUAUUCUGGUACACAUUAAGGACAAAGACUGUGUGGCUCUGGAGGUGCAGUACCACAAGAGCUGCUACCAGCAGUACACCAGAUUUCUGAAUGAGCCUGCUAGACAAGAGAAGGACAAGUCAUUGCCUGGAUGCUGACCCCUGCCUUUUUGUGCCGUGCCAC